rnacentral:rRNA from 1 species
GUGUCGUGAGAUGUUGGGUUAAGUCCCGCAACGAGCGCAACCCCUAUCCUUUGUUGCCAGCACGCAAUGGUGGGAACUCAAAGGAGACUGCCGCGGACAAACGCGGAGGAAGGCGGGGAUGACGUCAAGUCAUCAUGCCCCUUAUGUCCUGGGCUACACACGUACUACAAUGGGAUGGACAGAGAGCAGCGAAGCCGCGAGGCCAAGCGAACCCCAUAAACCAUCUCCCAGUUCGGAUUGCAGGCUGCAACCCGCCUGCA